rnacentral:rRNA from 1 species
UGAGCGACCUUGCCUCGUGGUGGGGGAUAGCCGGCCCAACGGCCGGGUAAUACCGCAUAGGGUAGUUUCUUCGCAUGGGGAGACUAGCAAAGCCCUGGAGUAAUCCAGUGGCGCCACAGGGGGGCUCGCGGCCUAUCAGCUAGUUGGGGGGGUAAUGGCCCACCAAGGCGACGACGGGUAGCUGGUCUGAGAGGAUGGCCAGCCACAUUGGGACUGAGAGACGGCCCAG